rnacentral:tRNA from 1 species
AGGGGUAUAGCUCAGUGGUCGAGCAUGUGACUGGCGUGCACAGGGUCCUGGGUUCAAUCCCCAGUGCCUCCA